AAUAUUGCGCACUGGGGGAAACCCUGCCGCAGCAACGCCGCGUGAGCGACGAAGGCCNNNGGGUCNUACAGCUCUGACUCGCGNGAANAAAAAUGACAGUACCUCUGGAGGAAGCCCCGGCUAACUACGUGCCAGCAGCCGCGGUAAUACGUAGGGGGCAAGCGUUGGCCGGAUUUACUGGGCGUAAAGGGCGCGUAGGCGGUAGUUUAAGUCAGAUGUGAAAGUCCAGGGCUCAACCGUGGAAUUGCAUUUGAAACUGAAUUACUUGAGUGCAGGAGAGGAGAGCGGAAUUCCUAGUGUAGCGGUGAAAUGCGUAGAUAUUAGGAAGAACACCAGUGGCGAAGGCGGCUCUCUGGACUGUAACUGACGCUGAGGCACGGAAGCGUGGGUAGCGAAC
rnacentral:rRNA from 1 species